UCCGAGUUGACCCCGGCAGUCUCCUGCGAGUCCCCGCCAUCACGCGCUGGCAACACAGGACAAGGGUUGCGCUCGUUGCGGGACUUAACCCAACAUCUCACGACACGAGCUGACGACAGCCAUGCACCACCUGUAUACCGACCACAAGGGGGGCCGUAUCUCUACGGCUUUCCGGUAUAUGUCAAACCCAGGUAAGGUUCUUCGGGUUGCAUCGAAUUAAGCCGCAUGCUCCGCCGCUUGUGCGGGGACCCGUCAAUUCCUUUGAGUUUUAGCCUUGCGGCCGUACUCCCCAGGCGGGAUACUUAAUGCGUUAGCUGCGGCACAGAGGGAGUGGAAUACCCCCCACACCUAGCGCCCAACGUUUACGGCGUGGACUAC
rnacentral:misc_RNA from 1 species